UCCCCCUGGCAGUGGGCAAAGAGAUGCCUUGUUGGUACUCUUGGUCUUCUAUCAGUCAGGGGCAGAGCAGAGGGCAGUCCUUUGUUCAUCCUAACUUGAUGCCUGGCUUGGUGGCCAAAGCAUCUUUAUGCCUAGGACACAUCA